rnacentral:rRNA from 1 species
UACGUAGGGACCAAGCGUUGUUCGGAUUCAUUGGGCGUAAAGGGCGCGUAGGCGGCGGGGUAAGUCUGGUGUGAAAUCUCGGAGCUCAACUCCGAAAUUGCACUGGAUACUGCUCUGCUAGAGGGCUGGAGAGGAGAUCGGAAUUCACGGUGUAGCAGUGAAAUGCGUAGAUAUCGUGAGGAAGACCAGUGGCGAAGGCGGAUCUCUGGACAGCUCCUGACGCUGAGGCGCGAGGGCUAGGGGAGCAAACGGG